AUUGAACGCUGGCGGCAUGCCUUACACAUGCAAGUCGAACGGCAGCGGGGGUAGCUUGCUACCUGCCGGCGAGUGGCGAACGGGUGAGUAAUACAUCGGAACGUGCCCUGUAGUGGGGGAUAACUAGUCGAAAGACUAGCUAAUACCGCAUACGACCUGAGGGUGAAAGUGGGGGACCGCAAGGCCUCAUGCUAUAGGAGCGGCCGAUGUCUGAUUAGCUAGUUGGUGGGGUAAAGGCCCACCAAGGCGACGAUCAGUAGCUGGUCUGAGAGGACGAUCAGCCACCCUGGGACUGAGACACGGCCCAGACUCCUACGGGAGGCAGCAGUGGGGAAUUUUGGACAAUGGGAGCAACCCUGAUCCAGCAAUGCCGCGUGUGUGAAGAAGGCCUUCGGGUUGUAAAGCACUUUUGUCCGGAAAGAAAUCGCACUGGUUAAUACCUGGUGUGGAUGACGGUACCGGAAGAAUAAGGACCGGCUAACUACGUGCCAGCCGCCGCAGUAA
rnacentral:rRNA from 1 species